UUUAGCAGUAGAAAUAGAUGA
rnacentral:miRNA from 1 species